UUGGGGCUUCGAGCUCACUCCCAACCCCUGUGACAUACCUUAAUGUUGCCUCGGCGGAUCAGCCCGCGCCCGGUAAAACGGGACGGCCCGCCAGAGGAUCCAAACUCUUGCUGUUAUUGUAACUUCUGAGUAAAACAAACAAAUAAAUCAAAACUUUCAACAACGGAUCUCUUGGUUCUGGCAUCGAUGAAGAACGCAGCAAAAUGCGAUAAGUAAUGUGAAUUGCAGAAUUCAGUGAAUCAUCGAAUCUUUGAACGCACAUUGCGCCCGCCAGUAUUCUGGCGGGCAUGCCUGUUCGAGCGUCAUUUCAACCCUCAAGCCCCCGGGUUUGGUGUUGGGGAUCGGCAAGCCUUCUGGCGAGCCGCCCCCUAAAUCUAGUGGCGGUCUCACUGCAGCCUCCAUUGCGUAGUAGCUAACACCUCGCAACUGGAACGCGGUGCGGCCAUGCCGUUAAACCCCCAACUUCUGAAUGUUGACCUCGGAUCAGGUAGGAAUACCCGCUGAACUUAAGCAUAUCAAUAAGCGGAGGAA
rnacentral:rRNA from 1 species